rnacentral:snoRNA from 14 species
AUAGCCUCCGAAUAACGGGAAUGUGAAAUAUAGGAACACCUUCUUGUUCAGACAGAGGCUUAUAUCAAAAUCCGAAUCAGUUUUGGGUGUGAAAAAGCUCUCUCCUUUUUUGCCCUUCAAUUCCAAAUAUCCUUCAAUGGAUAGAUUCGAAUAUCU